AGUGAACGCUGGCGGUAGGCCUAACACAUGCAAGUCGAACGGCAGCACAGUAAGAGCUUGCUCUUACGGGUGGCGAGUGGCGGACGGGUGAGGAAUACAUCGGAAUCUACUUUUUCGUGGGGGAUAACGUAGGGAAACUUACGCUAAUACCGCAUACGACCUACGGGUGAAAGCAGGGGAUCUUCGGACCUUGCGCGAUUGAAUGAGCCGAUGUCGGAUUAGCUAGUUGGCGGGGUAAAGUCCCACCAAGGCGACGAUCCGUAGCUGGUCUGAGAGGAUGAUCAGCCACACUGGAACUGAGACACGGUCCAGACUCCUACGGGAGGCAGCAGUGGGGAAUAUUGGACAAUGGGCGCAAGCCUGAUCCAGCCAUACCGCAUGGGUGAAGAAGGCCUUCGGGUUGUAAAGCCCUUUUGUUGGGAAAGAAAAGCAGCAGGUUAAUACCCCGCUGUUCUGACGGUACCCAAAGAAUAAGCACCGGCUAACUUCGUG
rnacentral:rRNA from 1 species